GUGAAUCAUCAAAUUUUUGAACGCAAAUUGCACUCUCUGGUAUUCCGGAGAGUAUGCCUGUUUGAGGGUCAGUUUAAAUAAAAAUCGGUGUGGUUGCUGCCUUUCGUGGUGACGCACCGGAUUUGGUUGGUCUUGCCUUCGGUUAGGGAACCUAAAUUUUGGCAGGAUUUUUUUCGAAGUUAUUUAAAUGAUUUUACGUACUUUUGCGAUAUCGAAUCU
rnacentral:misc_RNA from 1 species